rnacentral:rRNA from 1 species
GACGAACGCUGGCGGCGUGCUUAACACAUGCAAGUCGAACGAUGAAGCCUAGCUUGCUAGGUGGAUUAGUGGCGAACGGGUGAGUAAUACGUGAGUGACCUACCUUUGACUCUGGGAUAAGCCUGGGAAACUGGGUCUAAUACCGGAUACGACCAAUCUCCGCAUGGGGUGUUGGUGGAAAGCGUUAUGGAGUGGUUUUAGAUGGGCUCACGGCCUAUCAGCUUGUUGGUGAGGUAAUGGCUUACCAAGGCGACGACGGGUAGCCGGCCUGAGAGGGUGACCGGCCACACUGGGACUGAGACACGGCCCAGACUCCUACGGGAGGCAGCAGUGGGGAAUAUUGCACAAUGGGCGCAAGCCUGAUGCAGCGACGCCGCGUGAGGGAUGGCGGCCUUCGGGUUGUAAACCUCUGUUAGCAUCGAAGAAGCGAAAGUGACGGUAGGUGCAGAGAAAGCGCCGGCUAACUACGUG